CAUAUAGAUAGGUAUCUCCGUGGAUAGAGAUAAAGAUAGGGAUCCAUCUAGAUCUUGAUUCACUAUUUCCAUAUUUUUUCUUGAUUC
rnacentral:tRNA from 1 species